UAAAUAUAAUAUAUACUUUUUCAUGGAGAUCAUAUAAGUUUAAUGUAUUUCCUAGAGACCUAGACCUUUAGUAAAUCUGGUGAUAUUAAUGUAUUACCCUGUCAAUAUUCAACUCUCUGGUUUUAUGGUGGUCAAUUCCGUGGUCAUUUCAAAUCCUUAGUUCUAAAGAUACUAAAUUUCCCGUUGGUUUCAGCAGUACAUGUUGGUGCACACUGCAUUUUUCUGGCUAGUAAUUUAAAGCAGCGUGUGCUGUACGUGUAUGACCCAAUGGGUCAGGAUUCAAGCUAUCAUAGAAAACAGUUGAAAAACUGGAAGUGAGCAUUACAUUUAUACCCAACAUAACGGGAAUACAAUGUUUUUUGUUUUAGAGGUUUCUGGCGACAUCAUUUACCCUCUUCAUCUCAAAAGUGGAGGGUUGUAUCUUCACCUUAUGAGAAUCAGGAAGAUGGCAACAACUGUGGAAUUCUUGUGUUAAAGGUAUCUUAAGAUUAAACCCUUCAAUGCAGUUUAUUAAAAAAGAUUAGCCAUUGUUCAUUUAUUUAAAACUGUAUUGCAGCAAAUAGGUAUUUGUAUCUUAAGUGGAUUGUUUUUGAUACUAAAAAAUGUAUUUGGUUUGCAGAAUUUUAUAUAAAAAAAUGAGUCCUUCUGUGACAGAAACACUGUGUCAUUCAGCCACACCACAAAGGCCUGCAUGCUGUAUAGAGCUGAAUUUGGCAAUUUGUUGUUACAAGUUACAGGCAAGAGUUCAUUAUUCGUUUAUGUAUCAGUCGUAUAAGUGUAUCGGUUAUUUUUAUAUCUUAAAUACUUUUGUUAAAAACAUCCACAUUUAAAGUUGUAGUAAUAAUUACUUUAUUUUUUAUUCUAUUGUUUAUCAGAUACUUCAGAUUUGUUGAAUUUUUGUGUUGUCCGCCACUGCAGAGAAGCUUGAAAAAACACAAGUUGGGUAGCCUGCGAUGGUUGUGGAAGGUGGACUCAUGAAGAGUGCAGCAAAGCAAAAAUAUGUGCCAAUAAGCCCUAUUUUUGCAUGAGUGAAUAAAUAUUAAACGUU